UACGGAGGGUGCAAGCGUUGUUCGGAAUUAUUGGGCGUAAAGGGCGCGUAGGCGGUUGUGUAAGUCAGAUGUGAAAUACUCCGGCUCAACCGGAGAACUGCAUUUGAAACUGCGCAGCUAGAGUACAGAAGAGGGAAACGGAAUUCCCGGUGUAGAGGUGAAAUUCGUAGAUAUCGGGAGGAACACCAGUGGCGAAGGCGGUUUCCUGGUCUGAUACUGACGCUGAGGCGCGAAAGCGUGGGGAG
rnacentral:rRNA from 1 species